UACGUAGGGUGCAAGCGUUGUCCGGAAUUACUGGGCGUAAAGCGUGCGCAGGCGGCUUUGCAGGACAGAUGUGAAAUCCCCGGGCUCAACCUGGGAACUGCAUUUGUGACUGCAAGGCUGGAGUACGGUAGAGGGGGAUGGAAUUCCGCGUGUAGCAGUGAAAUGCGUAGAUAUGCGGAGGAACACCGAUGGCGAAGGCAAUCCCCUGGACCUGUACUGACGCUCAUGCACGAAAGCGUGGGGAGCAAACAGG
rnacentral:rRNA from 1 species